UGGCGAACGGGUGAGUAACACGUGAGUAACCUGCCUUAGACAUUGGGAUAGCCUCGGGAAACCGGGAUUAAUACCAAAUAAAAUCAUAAUGAUACAUGUCAUAACGAUCAAAACUCCGGUGGUCUAAGAUGGACUCGCGUCCCAUUAGCUAGUUGGUAGAGUAAAAGCCUACCAAGGCGACGAUGGGUAGCCGGCCUGAGAGGGUGAACGGCCACAUUGGAACUGAGAAACGGUCCAG
rnacentral:rRNA from 1 species